rnacentral:rRNA from 1 species
AUGGCUGACUUGGACUUGUCUACGCCUCUGUUGUCAGCGAUGGAUUUGGCCGAGGAGUCCAACGUGUCCGCGGCUUUCCCGCUGCUGGUGCUUGAGCCGCCGCCAGAUUCAGAUCGUUCGUCGUACAAGGUCUUCAGCUUGCCGGACCAGAAGCUUGAAGAUGUCACUCCGUUCGUGUCGAGCAACAAAGCAUUCUUGGAGACGCCGCAGGGCUGGGUAUUGGUCCUGAGCUCCUCCGAUUCCUCGUCAGAAGACGCAGGGACCCAUCUCCUGAACCCUAAAGACGGAUCAAGAAUCGAGCUUCCGACUCUCAAAGACGACGAGGUCCCAUGGACGUGCAGGUGCGUCUUGUCCAACGUCGUGGUAGCGCCUGGCUGCAGCGUCCUAGUCUUCGACCAUGCGAGCCCGGUGAUGUGGUUCUGCCGCGUCGGCCAGGAUCUCCGGUGGUCGCGCCACGGCUACGACAUUGGCUGCUUGGACAUCGCGGGCUCUCCUCCCACAAAGAGACACUUCGUCGACGUUGCCGCCGUUAAUGGGAGGUUCUUCUUCUGCGAGUCCAAUGACUCUCUCGGCACGCUCGACUUCCACGCCAACGACGCCUCGGAGAAGCCGGAGGUGCGGCUGGGCGCCAUCGCCGUGCCCUGCGUCCACGUCCCGACGGGCUUUACGGCCACGUACGUCGUCGAGUCCUGCAACGACCUGUUCCUCGUCCAUAUCGCCUUCCACGGAUUAUGCGUCGACCGACCAGGGGAGCUCCGCGUCUAUCGGAUGGAUUUCUCGGAGCCGCCGGCUUGGCGCAAGACGGACUGCAUCGGGGAUCGGGCUUUCAUCCUCGGUAAAUCCAAUUUUGCAGCGUCCUGCUCUGCCAGCGGAUGUGGACUCAAGCCCAACUGCGUCUACUGGUUGAAUUGCCUCAGCUCAGAGAACAGUGAUCUGCAUGUCUUCGGCCUGAAGGACGGCUCAUCAGAAAUUGUCAAGCAGUUUGAGAAUGUCGUGGGUCUCCGGAAAUCCUGGUGGAUCGUCCCUGUCGUUUCAUAG